AUGCUAGGGGAGCAAUUGCUGAGAUUAACCUUUACGGUUUAUACCCUCAGGACCUGACCCGGAUAAUACCGGCGUAGGCAAGCAU
rnacentral:ncRNA from 1 species